GGCGCUAUCGUCUAGAGGCCCAGGACACAAGCUUUUCAAGCUUGGUACACGGGUUCGAAUCCCGUUAGCGCUA
rnacentral:tRNA from 1 species